rnacentral:rRNA from 1 species
CAGUCGCCGCGGUAAUACGUAGGUGGCAAGCGUUGUCCGGAAUUAUUGGGCGUAAAGGGCUCGCAGGCGGUUUCUUAAGUCUGACGUGAAAGCCCCCGGCUCAACCGGGGAGGGUCAUUGGAAACUGGGAAACUUGAGUGCAGAAGAGGAGAGUGGAAUUCCACGUGUAGCGGUGAAAUGCGUAGAGAUGUGGAGGAACACCAGUGGCGAAGGCGACUCUCUGGUCUGUAACUGACGCUGAGGAGCGAAAGCGUGGGGAGCGAACAGGAUUAGAUACCCGUGUAGUCCCUGUCUCUUAUAC